UACGUAGGGGGCGAGCGUUGUCCGGAAUUAUUGGGCGUAAAGGGCGCGCAGGCGGCCUUCUAAGUCUGAUGUGAAAUCUCGUGGCUCAACCACGAACGGUCAUUGGAAACUGGGAGGCUUGAGUACAGAAGAGGAGAGUGGAAUUCCACGUGUAGCGGUGAAAUGCGCAGAGAUGUGGAGGAACACCAGUGGCGAAGGCGACUCUCUGGUCUGUAACUGACGCUGAGGCGCAAAAGCGUGGGUAGCAAAC
rnacentral:rRNA from 1 species